UCCCUGGCGGUCCAGUGGUUAGGACACGGUGCUUUCGCUGCCAAGGGCCUGGGUUCCAUUCCUGGCCGGGGCA
rnacentral:tRNA from 1 species